CGGGCUCGCGCUGCGCCCCGCCUCCGCUGGCAGUCUGGGUUGCUGGCCUCUGGGGCUUUUUUUUUUUCCACUGGCCUCCGCAGCGCACCCCUCCUUGCAAGGCAGCUCCAGAGCUAGCGGGCACGCGGGCUCCUCUCCAUGAGCUUCCUUCCCCUUAAGGCCGGACCAAGCGGCGGAGACGUGGUGGGUGGACGAGACAGAACCUUAGAUCCUGGUAAACCACUGUUCUCUCCUGCUUCUACAAAUUUGGCUCCUUUUGAUUCUGUACAAUCAAUCACGGGAAAUAUACCCGUUCUUCUUAAAAGGGAAAGAAGAAACCUCUGUCAUAGACAUCCCUGGAGCUGAUACUCUGGAUAAAUUAUUUGACCAUGCUGUAGCCAAGUUUGGAAAGAAGGACAGCCUUGGGACCAGGGAAAUCCUAAGUGAAGAACACGAAAUGCAGCCCAAUGGAAAGGUUUUUAAGAAGUUAAUUCUCGGGAAUUAUAAAUGGAUAAAAUAUCUUGAAGUGAACUGCAGAGUGAAGACCUUCUCCAGAAACCUAAGGCUUUGAGAAGCCAAAGAAUAACCACAAAUAAGCGCCAUAUUAGAAGCCUUUCCACUAUGAAACUUAAGCUAAAUGUGCUCACCAUUAUAUUGCUGCCUGUCCACUUGUUAAUAACAAUAUACAGUGCCCUUAUAUUUAUUCCAUGGUAUUUUCUUACCAAUGCUAAGAAGAAAAACGA
rnacentral:lncRNA from 1 species